UGCCCUGUGGUGUAAUCGGUAGCAUGACUGGUUCUGAGCCAGUUGGUCUUGGUUCGAGUCCAGGCAGGGCAGCAA
rnacentral:tRNA from 1 species